GACCGCGUAGCUCAGUUGGCAGAGCAUUGGACUGGUAUCCCAAAGGUCGCUGGUUCGAUUCCCACCGUGGCCA
rnacentral:tRNA from 1 species